AAAGGGGGUUGAAGUUUGUAUGGGGAAUCCGGUACGUAUUUGAGGAUUUUUAGUAGUAAAUCACCCGCAACCCUUUAAAUUAGGAGAUGGAAGAUUGUCAUAAGCAACUUACAAAAAGAUGUGAAAUCCCACCAAAAACAUUUUCAUGUAAAAUGUUGCCAAGAC